UGUGCCCUGUGGAGCAGCUGCAGAUAAAGAAAAAGUGAAGAUAAAAUAAAAUAAAUAAAGGUAAAGUGAGCAUGUGCCCUGUGGAGCAGCUGCAGAUAAAGAAAAAGUGAAGAUAAAAUAAAAUAAAUAAAGGUAAAGUGGGGGUAUUAUUUUAUGAGAGAGUGAGAGGAAGUGAUAAUAAAAAUAAUGUAUGGAUCUGUGUAUGAUAGGAGAGAGAGAGAGAGAGAGUCCAAGACCAAGGGGACAAACUCAGGGGCUUUAGAAGAAAAAAAAAA